rnacentral:rRNA from 1 species
AAUGAACGCUGGUGGCAUGCCUAACACAUGCAAGUCGAACGAAGGCUUCGGCCUUAGUGGCGCACGGGUGCGUAACGCGUGGGAAUCUGCCCUCAGGUUCGGAAUAACAGCGAGAAAUUGCUGCUAAUACCGGAUGAUAUCGCGAGAUCAAAGAUUUAUCGCCUGAGGAUGAGCCCGCGUAGGAUUAGCUAGUUGGUGUGGUAAAGGCGCACCAAGGCGACGAUCCUUAGCUGGUCUGAGAGGAUGAUCAGCCACACUGGGGCUGAGACACGGCCCAGACUCCUACGGGAGGCAGCAGUGGGGAAUAUUGGACAAUGGGCGAAAGCCUGAUCCAGCAAUGCCGCGUGAGUGAUGAAGGCCUUAGGGUUGUAAAGCUCUUUUACCCGGGAUGAUAAUGACAGUACCGGGAGAAUAAGCUCCGGCUAACUCCGUGCCAGCAGCCGCCGUAA